rnacentral:rRNA from 1 species
UACAGAGGUCUCAAGCGUUGUUCGGAUUCAUUGGGCGUAAAGGGUGCGUAGGCGGCGCGGUAAGUCGGGUGUGAAAUCUCGGAGCUUAACUCCGAAACUGCAUUCGAUACUGUCGUGCUUGAGGACUGGAGAGGAGACUGGAAUUCAUGGUGUAGCAGUGAAAUGCGUAGAGAUCAUGAGGAAGACCAGUGGCGAAGGCGGGUCUCUGGACAGUUCCUGACACUGAGACACGAAGGCCAGGGGAGCAAACGGG